rnacentral:rRNA from 1 species
GACGAACCGAGCGAACGUUGUUCGGAAUCACUGGGCUUAAAGGGCGCGUAGGCGGCUUGUCCAGUCGGUGGUGAAAUCCUGCAGCUUAACUGUAGAAGUGCCUCCGAUACUGACGAGCUCGAGGGAGGUAGGGGUCUUUGGAACUUCUGGUGGAGCGGUGAAAUGCGUUGAUAUCAGAAGGAACGCCGGUGGCGAAAGCGAAGGACUGGACCUCUUCUAACGCUGAGGCGCGAAAGCUAGGGGAGCAAACGGG